GGCUCAGUGGUAGAGCAUUUGCCUUGCAUGCAGAAGGUUCCAGGUUCAAUCCCCAGCAUCACCA